GAUGAACGCUGGCGGCGUGCUUAACACAUGCAAGUCGAGCGAUGAAGUUUCCUUCGGGAAACGGAUUAGCGGCGGACGGGUGAGUAACACGUGGGUACCCUGCCUCAUAGAGUGGAAUAGCCUUCCGAAAGGAAGAUUAAUACCGCAUAAUGUUGAAAGAUGGCAUCAUCAUUCAACCAAAGGAGCAAUCCGCUAUGAGAUGGACCCGCGGCGCAUUAGCUAGUUGGUGGGGUAACGGCCUACCAAGGCGACGAUGCGUAGCCGACCUGAGAGGGUGAUCGGCCACAUUGGGACUGAGACACGGCCCAGACUCCUACGGGAGGCAGCAGUGGGGAAUAUUGCACAAUGGGGGAAACCCUGAUGCAGCAACGCCGCGUGAGUGAUGAAGGUUUUCGGAUCGUAAAGCUCUGUCUUUGGGGAAGAUAAUGACGGUACCCAAGGAGGAAGCCACGGCUAACUACGUGCCAGCCGCCGCUGUAA
rnacentral:rRNA from 1 species